rnacentral:rRNA from 1 species
AUACGGGGGGUGCAAGCGUUAAUCGGAAUUACUGGGCGUAAAGCGCGCGUAGGCGGUUUGCUCAGUCGGAUGUGAAAGCCCAGGGCUCAACCUUGGAACUGCAUACGAUACUGGCAAACUAGAGUGUGAGAGAGGAUAGUGGAAUUUCCGGUGUAGCGGUGAAAUGCGUAGAUAUCGGAAGGAACAUCAGUGGCGAAGGCGACUGUCUGGCUAAACACUGACGCUGAGGUGCGAAAGCGUGGGUAGCAAACAGGAUUAGAAACCCUAGUAGUCC